CCUACGGGGGGCAGCAGUAGGGAAUCUUCCACAAUGGGCGAAAGCCUGAUGGAGCAACGCCGCGUGGGUGAAGAAGGUCUUCGGAUCGUAAAACCCUGUUGUUAGAGAAGAAAGUGCGUGAGAGUAACUGUUCACGUUUCGACGGUAUCUAACCAGAAAGCCACGGCUAACUACGUGCCAGCAGCCGCGGUAAUCCGUAGGUGGCAAGCGUUAACCGGAUUUAUUGGGCGUAAAGGGAACGCAGGCGGUCUUUUAAGUCUGAUGUGAAAGCCUUCGGCUUAACCGGAGUAGUGCAUUGGAAACUGGGAGACUUGAGUGCAGAAGAGGAGAGUGGAACUCCAUGUGUAGCGGUGAAAUGCGUAGAUAUAUGGAAGAACACCAGUGGCGAAAGCGGCUUUCUGGUCUGUAACUGACGCUGAGGUUCGAAAGCGUGGGUAGCAAACAGGAUUAGAUACCCGAGUAGUC
rnacentral:rRNA from 1 species